GCAGGUAUAGUUUAAAAAAAAUGUUGGAUUGUGAUUCCAAGGACAGGAGUUAAAGCCUCCUUACCCGCC
rnacentral:tRNA from 1 species